rfam:Dipodomys ordii contig_28737, whole genome shotgun sequence.
GGGAAGGUAGCUCAGUGGGAGAGUGCUUGCCUUGCAUGCAUGAGGCCCUGGGUUCGAUUCCUCAGCACCA